rnacentral:rRNA from 1 species
UAAGUAGGGCGUGAAAGCGUAUGGCUCAACCAUAUAAACAUGUCCUAAACUGCAAAGCUAGAAUGUAGGAGAGGUAGCUGGAAUUCCUAGUGUAGGAGUGAAAUCCGUAGAUAUUAGGAGGAACACCGAUGGCGUAGGCAGGCUACUGGCCUAUUAUUGACGCUAAGGCACGAAAGCGUGGGGAGCAAACGGGAUUAGAUACCCCGGUAGUCCACGCCGUAAACGAUGGAUGCUA